UACGUAGGGGGCGAGCGUUGUCCGGAUUUAUUGGGCGUAAAAGGCUUGUAGGUGGCCACGGCAAGUCGGAUGUGAAAUCUCCCGGCUCAACUGGGAGGGGUCAUUCGAUACUGCCGGGCUCGAGGCCGGUAGGGGGAAGCGGAAUUCCCGGUGUAGUGGUGGAAUGCGUAGAUAUCAGGAGGAACACCGAUGGCGAAGGCAGCUCGCUGGGACGGUACUGACGCUGAGGCGCGAAAGCGUGGGGAGCGAACAGG
rnacentral:rRNA from 1 species